GACGAACGCUGGCGGCGUGCUUAACACAUGCAAGUCGAACGGAAAGGUCCUGCUUUUGUGGGGUGCUCGAGUGGCGAACGGGUGAGUAACACGUGAGUAUCCUGCCCUUGACUUUGGGAUAACUUCAGGAAACUGGGGCUAAUACCGGAUAGGAGCUCCUGCUGCAUGGUGGGGGUUGGAAAGUUUCGGCGGUUGGGGAUGGACUCGCGGCUUAUCAGCUUGUUUGUGGGGUAGUGGCUUACCAAGGCUUUGACGGGUAGCCGGCCUGAGAGGGUGACCGGCCACAUUGGGACUGAGAUACGGACCAGACUCCUACGGGAGGCAGCAGUGGGGAAUAUUGCGCAGUGGGCGGAAGCCUGAUGCAGCAACGCCGCGUGCGGGAUGACGGCCUUCGGGUUGUAAACCGCUUUCGCCUGUGACGAAGCGUGAGUGACGGUAAUGGGUAAAGAAGCACCGGCUAACUACGUG
rnacentral:rRNA from 1 species